rnacentral:rRNA from 1 species
GAUGAACGCUAGCGGCAGGCCUAACACAUGCAAGUCGAGGGGUAACAGUUCCGAGCAAUCGGGAGCUGACGACCGGCGCACGGGUGAGUAACGAGUAUGCAACCUUCCUUUAACUGGGGCAUAGCCCGGAGAAAUCCGGAUUAAUACCCCAUAACAUCGCAGAAAGGCAUCUUUCAGUGAUUAAAGCUCCGGCGGUUAAAGAUGGGCAUGCUUGCCAUUAGCUUGUUGGUGAGGUAAAGGCGCACCAAGGCUACGAUGGUUAGGGGGUCUGAGAGGAUGAUCCCCCACACUGGUACUGAGACACGGACCAGACUCCUACGGGAGGCAGCAGUGAGGAAUAUUGGGCAAUGGGCGCAAGCCUGACCCAGCCAUGCCGCGUGAAGGAUGAAUGCCCUAUGGGUUGUAAACUUCUUUUUUACGGGAAGAAACUCUCGAACGUGUUCGGGAUUGACUGUACCGUAUGAAUAAGCAUCGGCUAACUCCGUGCCAGCAGCCGCCGUAAUAC